GACGAACGCUGGCGGCGUGCUUAACACAUGCAAGUCGAACGAUGAAGCCGGAGCUUGCUCUGGUGAAUUAGUGGCGAACGGGUGAGUAACACGUGAGUAACCUGCCCUUGAUUCUGGGAUAACUGCGGGAAACUGUAGCUAAUACCGAAUACGACCCUCGGAGGCAUCUCCUGGGGGUGGAAAGAAUUUCGGUCAAGGAUGGACUCGCGGCCUAUCAGCUAGUUGGUGAGGUAAAGGCUCACCAAGGCGACGACGGGUAGCCGGCCUGAGAGGGUGACCGGCCACACUGGGACUGAGACACGGCCCAGACUCCUACGGGAGGCAGCAGUGGGGAAUAUUGCACAAUGGGCGCAAGCCUGAUGCAGCAACGCCGCGUGAGGGAUGACGGCCUUCGGGUUGUAAACCUCUUUUAGCAGGGAAGAAGCGAAAGUGACGGUACCUGCAGAAAAAGCACCGGCUAACUACGUGCCAGCAGCCGCCGUAA
rnacentral:rRNA from 1 species